rnacentral:rRNA from 1 species
CAGGACGAACGCUGGCGGCGUGCCUAACACAUGCAAGUCGAGCGGAGUUAACAAGAGGAAGUUUCGGAUGGAAUUUGUAAUUUAGCGGCGGACGGGUGAGUAACGCGUGAGCGACCAACCUUGCACAGGGGGAUAACGGACCGAAAGGUUCACUAAUACCGCAUGAGACCACGGUGUUGCAUGACACAGAGGUCAAAGGAGCAAUCCGGUGCAAGACGGGCUCGCGUCCGAUUAGGUAGUUGGUGGGGUAAUGGCCCACCAAGCCUAUGAUCGGUAGCCGACCUGAGAGGGUGAUCGGCCACAUUGGAACUGAGAUACGGUCCAAACUCCUACGGGAGGCAGCAGUGGGGAAUAUUGGGCAAAUGGGGGAAACCCUGACCCAGCAACGCCGCGUGAAGGAAGAAGGUUUUCGGAUUGUAAACUUCUGUCCUUGGUGAAGAGAAGAAGACGGUAGCCAAGGAGGAAGCCCCGGCUAACUACGUGCCAGCAGCGGC